GGUUUGGAGUAUCUACUCUACGAGGAAUCUGUGCAUUUACUAAAAGAAAUGGAAAAGAAUUUUUUUUUUUUUGGAGCUUUCGUCUUCUUCCUCAAGAGGACCGCCACCCGUCCUUCGAAUUUCUUUCCGGCUGCUUGUCCACCUCCACAUGUUUCCGCCGCCCACCACCGCUAUCCGAUUGUUUUUAGAUUGAGUUUGAUUGAAUUAGAAAGUUUUUAGAUCGACGGUAACCGUAGGCCAGUAUACCCCAUAUGUACGGGACGCUAUGGGAUCACUGCUGUUAAGUGUACCCUCAAAUUCAUGUGCUCCCAUGAGAUCGCUAAACUAACCAAAAAGUGUACCCCAUGAGAUCAUGUGUGCUCCUACCGGAUAUUUCCUUUAUAGGAGUUAAGGGUUAGCAAUGGGUCUCUCCUACGGAACCUUUCCUUAAUAGAAAGUUAAGGAUUAGUAGUGGAUCCCUCCCUUACUAAGUAUUUCAUAUACCCACCCUUGUAUAUUUAAUUUUUCAUACCUUCGCUAUUUAUUUUUAUUUAUAUGAUUUUUGAAUGCUAUGAACUUUUGGGUAGAUGGUCAUUGAAUUUA